rnacentral:rRNA from 1 species
GACAGAGGGUGCAAACGUUGUUCGGAAUUACUGGGCGUAAAGCGCACGUAGGCGGGUCAUUAAGUCGGGGGUGAAAUCCUGGAGCUCAACUCCAGAACUGCCUUCGAAACUGAUGAUCUUGAGUUCGGGAGAGGUGAGUGGAACUGCGAGUGUAGAGGUGAAAUUCGUAGAUAUUCGCAAGAACACCAGUGGCGAAGGCGGCUCACUGGCCCGAUACUGACGCUGAGGUGCGAAAGCGUGGGGAGCAAACAGG